UAGGGAAUCUUCGGCAAUGGGGGGAACCCUGACCGAGCAACGCCGCGUGAGUGAAGAAGGUUUUCGGAUCGUAAAGCUCUGUUGUUAAGGAAGAACGAGUGUGAGAAUGGAAAGUUCAUACUGUGACGGUACUUAACCAGAAAGGGACGGCUAACUACGUGCCAGCAGCCGCGGUAAUACGUAGGUCCCGAGCGUUGUCCGGAUUUAUUGGGCGUAAAGCGAGCGCAGGCGGUUAGAAAAGUCUGAAGUGAAAGGCAGUGGCUCAACCAUUGUAGGCUUUGGAAACUGUUUAACUUGAGUGCAGAAGGGGAGAGUGGAAUUCCAUGUGUAGCGGUGAAAUGCGUAGAUAUAUGGAGGAACACCGGUGGCGAAAGCGGCUCUCUGGUCUGUAACUGACGCUGAGGCUCGAAAGCGUGGGGAGCAAACAGGAUUAGAUACCCUGGUAGUCCACGCCGUAAACGAUGAGUGCUAAGUGUUGGUCUCAUAAGAGAUCAGUGCUGCAGCUAACGCAUUAAGCACUCCGCCUGGGGAGUACGACCGCAAGGUUG
rnacentral:rRNA from 1 species